UGAGGAAUAUUGGGCAAUGCCCGCAAGGGUGACCCAGCAACGCCGCGUGGAGGAUGAAUGUCGUAAGAUUGUAAACUCCUGUUAGAGGGGAAGAAUAGUACCGGUUGGACCGGUAUAUGACUGUACCCUCAGAGAAAGCCCCGGCUAACUACGUGCCAGCAGCCGCGGUAAUACGUAGGGGGCAAGCGUUGUCCGGAUUUACUGGGUGUAAAGGGCGCGCAGGCGGGAUAAAAAGUCAGUGGUGAAAUCCUACAGCUUAACUGUAGAACUGCCUUUGAUACUUUUAUUCUCGAGUUCGGGAGAGAGAGACGGAAUUCCAGGUGUAGUGGUGAAAUACGUAGAUAUCUGGAAGAACACCAGUUGCGAAGGCGGUCUCUUGAUCCGACACUGACGCUGAGGCGCGAAAGCGUGGGGAGCAAACA
rnacentral:rRNA from 1 species